GACGAACGCUGGCGGCGUGGAUUAGGCAUGCAAGUCGAACGGUAGGAUCCUUUCGGGGAUCUGAGAGUGGCGAACGGGUGAGUAACACGUAGGUGAUCUACCCUCAAGACGGGGACAACCCAGGGAAACUUGGGCUAAUACCGGAUGUGAGCUAUCGCGAGAUAGUUUGAAAGGUGGCUUCGGCUGCCGCUUGAGGAUGAGCCUGCGUCCUAUUAGCUAGUUGGUGAGGUAACGGCUCACCGAGGCAGUGAUAGGUAGGCGGCCUUAACGGGUGGUCGCCCACACUGGGAUUGAGAUACGGCCCAGACUCCUACGGGAGGCAGCAGUCGAGAAUAGUCUACAAUGGUCGAAAGACUGAUAGUGCGACGCCGCGUGAACGAAGAAGCCCUUCGGGGUGUAAAGUUCUUUUAUAUGUGAGCAGUGACACCCAUACUUAAUAGUAUGGGUGUAGAGAUAUUAGCAUAUGAAUAAGCAACGGCUAACUCCGUGCCAGC
rnacentral:rRNA from 1 species